UUAGGGGUGUUGUCGGUGUCACAGACAGGUUUGCAGGGUUUGGGGGUGGGUGUAGGAUUUCAGGGAGAAAAAUGGGGAGGAAUUCUGGGAGAAAAGGGGGAUUGAGCGGUCGAUUUGGGGAGAAAGAGAGGAGAGCGUGAUUUGGGGAUUAGGUGAAAACAAAGCAGCUUCGAAUUACUCAAAUCAAAACUGACUUUGUCCGCAACCUCUGCUUGCUUGCUCCCUUUCUCAGUCGAUCCUGACGAAAACUAUAGAUCUGUGUGCAUCUGCAUCUUCAGAGAAUUCUAACUGUUGUUCUGGUGAGAAAAUAAUCUCAAAACUUAUGAUGUAGUGCACUUGGCUGAUAAUUCAUUUUGAUUAUGUAUAUGCAGAAUUAGUAGCUGAGAAAAUAGAAUGGGGAAGUAUACAAAUGGAUUUGAUUUGAUUCUUGGAGCUGACAUAUAUAUCCACAAUUGUUCAUUUUUAUCAUGGUUAAGCAGCAUGACUAUAUUAUUUGCUACUAACUGAGAGAGUGCACCUGCAAUUCAAGCCUUUAACGCGUUCUUUAUUUUAUUUUUUUAUGUUGAAAAUCAUGUUUUCGUACCCUAUGUUUCCACCUUUAAUUAAGGAAGUGGUGAGGUGUUAGAUCGUCUAUUGUUGUGUUAUCUGAUUCAGUGUUUGGGUGAUGCCUAAAUCAGUUGUGGCUCUUGCUGAUUGUUCACAUGUUCUCAAGCAUAAAUCAAUAAAUCUUAGAAAAAAGCAUUUUCUUUGGUACCUGUACAUAGUUGAACUUUUUUUUCAUAACUUUUUCAGGCGAUUCUUUUCUAUGAUUUCAGAAAUUGAGGAUCCAUUUGAAAGACAGUAGUACCGAUAGCAAUUAGGGUUUAGGUACUUUUAGUCAUAAUUCCUGCCUUAUGUUCUCCUAAUUCAUCAUUCCAGCGUUGUUUUCUAUCUUAAUUCUUGCACCAGUUGUUACUCUUGACAAAAUCACGUAAAAUUCAUAUGAUUUGGUAUGGUUCAAAAUGAUAUCAUGUGAAGAAGUUUCAUCAUUGCUUUGAUAUCGUGACUUUCAAUGUGCUUAAGAGCUUAUGUGCAGUUGCAUUUUUCUCUGGGCCCUGCAGUUGAUAUCAUGACUUUCAAUGUACAAAUUUGAUGGUUUUAAAUUUUUAAUUGUGGAAAUGGAUUAAUUUAGCACAUAAAGAUUGAAAACCUGUGUGUUUAUGCUUGCAAGCUUGGUUUUUGAGAGGUUUUUGGUCUGGGAAUUUAUUUUGUGUUUAUGGUUCAUGUAUUAUUAAGGUUUUUGUUUAGUUUUAUAUUGGGUUGCGGAUGCUUUCGGAAGUACAAGAAUUUGUGCUUUUGUGGAUACGAAGAAUUUGUGCGUACUGAACUUGAUGAGUUGCUGGCAGGUAGCAACCCUGUAAUUCAUCGGAGUUUAGAGCGAGUUAAUUGAACAUUUUAACUCAAACCCAUAGAAAUCUGUGAACUCCGCAUUAGAAUCUAGUGACCUCAUCACUUGAACACUUAUAUAUAUAUGUAAGUUAUUGUAAAUAUGUUAGUCAUUGUAAAUGUGGUUGUAAAUAGAUUUUCACAUGUAUGUAAAUAGUGUUGCUUA